UGGACAAUGGGCGAAAGCCUGAUCCAGCCAUGCCGCGUGUGUGAAGAAGGUCUUCGGAUUGUAAAGCACUUUAAGUUGGGAGGAAGGGUUGUAGAUUAAUACUCUGCAAUUUUGACGUUACCGACAGAAUAAGCACCGGCUAACUCUGUGCCAGCAGCCGCGUAAU
rnacentral:rRNA from 1 species